rfam:Lobosporangium transversale strain NRRL 3116 BCR41scaffold_12, whole genome shotgun sequence.
AAAGUUAUUGCAAUUGUAAUUGAACUUGGCACGAGAGGAGCCGUGCAUUCGGAUAAUUAGUGUUUGGGCCUGCCUGAGCAGGCACUGACCCGAAGCUAUCAUCCAUUGGAUUAUGGCUGAACGCCUCGAAGUUAGAAGCCGUGUUAGAACGUGACGAUUGCUACCUUUUUCGAUUUUUAGUUGAACACAAAACGAGCUUCGGCUCCUAAAUCAUGCUAUGCUGGACCUUAUGUAGUGUCUUCUAAUGUUGGAAGAGAUAAAUCCAUUGCAGACCACUUUUAAACAACGGUGUACUGAAAGCUGUAGAGUAAGUCUUGUUACUACGAUCGGUUCAGGUUAAGCACUUUGUUGUAAAAAAUU